rnacentral:rRNA from 1 species
GACGAAGGGGGCUAGCGUUGUUCGGAAUUACUGGGCGUAAAGCGCGUGUAGGCGGUUGCCCAAGUCGGGGGUGAAAGCCUUGAGCUCAACUCAAGAAAUGCACUCGGUACUGGGUGACUAGAGGACCGGAGAGGAUAGUGGAAUUCCCAGUGUAGUGGUGAAAUACGUAGAGAUUGGGAAGAACACCAGCGGCGAAGGCGGCUAUCUGGACGGUUUCUGACGCUAAGACGCGAAAGCGUGGGGAGCAAACAGG